UCAUUAGACUGAAAAUCGAGGGGUGUCUGGAAGUCAGCGGAGGAGAGAGCCCUGCGGUGUGUAGCUGCCUAUACCUUGUCAAACAGGCUUCCUCCAAUCAUGAGCCUUAUUGUUACCGACGUCAGUUGAUGCUAUAAUUGGAUAUGGAGUUGGAGAGUGCGCAGAUGCAAUAGGGAUUGAAGCUUUCUGAGCCCAUGAAGAUGUCAAAAAAUAAAAAGAUAAAUACCGCAACAGGGUCCUGUCAUCCCUGCUGCAGUCACCUGACCUCUUUGACGUCGCCCUGUGCAAGGGACAGAGGCAGCUGGCACCUGGGACUAGACUUACUUUCAUUGUCUAUGUUUCAUCUGCAUAUUAGUCUUCCUCGUCCUCCAGUGCUCAAAGUCAGGUACAGGGGCCCACAUGAACGCUGACCUGUGGCUGUGCCAGCAAGCACCCAGGUGUGGGCACUGGAUGUACAACCCCUCGGAGCAAUGCUGUGAUGAUGACACUAUCCUGCCCUUCAACCGGACCCACCUCUGUGGCCCCAACUGCACCUUCUGGCCCUGACUUGAGCUCUGCUGUCCUGAGUCAUCAGGCCCCCAGACCAGGUUUGAUGAAAGUUGAAGGUUAUGAGCAAGACAUCUCGGUGCCCUACCUCUCCCAUCACCAGGGUCUAUCCCAGGGGUCUGACUCCACCACUUACAAGUGGGAUUUUGUCCAAUGACUUAACCUCCCAGAGCUCAGCGUCUUCUUCAAGUUCAGUGAAGUAACAGCCCUCCUGAUGUUGGACCUGUAAGUAUUCAAUAAAGAAAACACAUUCACAGAUUCCAUGGAAACGUGGGGCUCUGGGGUAUGCCUUAUGAUCC